UACGUAGGGUGCAAGCGUUAAUCGGAAUUACUGGGCGUAAAGCGUGCGCAGGCGGUUUUGUAAGACAGAGGUGAAAUCCCCGGGCUCAACCUGGGAACAGCGCUUGAGACUGGCACGCUCGAGUUCGGGAGAGGAUGGUGGAAUUCCCAGUGUAGAGGUGAAAUUCGUAGAUAUUGGGAAGAACACCGAUGGCGAAGGCAGCCAUCUGGACCGACACUGACGCUGAGGCGCGAAAGCGUGGGGAGCAAACAGG
rnacentral:rRNA from 1 species